UACGUAGGGCGCAAGCGUUGUCCGGAAUUAUUGGGCGUAAAGAGCUCGUAGGCGGUCUGUCGCGUCGGUUGUGAAAACCCGGGGCUCAACCCCGGGCCUGCAGUCGAUACGGGCAGGCUAGAGUCCGGCAGGGGAGACUGGAAUUCCUGGUGUAGCGGUGAAAUGCGCAGAUAUCAGGAGGAACACCGGUGGCGAAGGCGGGUCUCUGGGCCGGAACUGACGCUGAGGAGCGAAAGCGUGGGGAGCGAACAGG
rnacentral:rRNA from 1 species